GACGUCAUCGGUGACGCCUCGGAGUCGGCGCUGCUGAAGUUCGCGGAAGUGACGUCGGGGUCGGUGGCGGCCGCCAGGGGGCGCUACCCGAAGGUGGCGGAGCUGCCGUUCAACUCGAGCAACAAAUUCCAGGUGUCGGUGCACGAGGCCGGCCCCCAGCAGCUCCUGGUGCUCAAGGGCGCCCCCGAGCGGGUCCUCGAGCGCUGCCGGGGGGCGCUGCGGGGGGGGGAGGAGCGGCCGCUGGACCCCGAGUGGAGGCGGAGCCUGGAGGGGGCGUGUCUGGAGCUGGGGGGGCGGGGCGAGAGGGUGCUCGGUGAUCAUGGUGACCGGUGACCACCCGGUGACGGCCAAGGCCAUCGCGGCGCAGGUCGGGAUCAUCUCCGAGGGCAGCGAGACCCCCGAGGACGUGGCGGCGCGCCUGCACCUGCCCCUCGAGACAGGUGCAGCCCAGCCAGGCGCGCGCCCGCGUGGUGACGGGCUCGGAGCUGGCGGCGCUGGCCCCGGGCGCGCUCGAGGAGCUGCUCCGCGCCCACCCCGAGAUGGUUUUCGCCCGCACGUCGCCGCAGCA